rnacentral:rRNA from 1 species
UACGAAGGGGGCUAGCGUUGUUCGGAAUUACUGGGCGUAAAGCGCACGUAGGCGGAUAUUUAAGUCAGGGGUGAAAUCCCAGAGCUCAACUCUGGAACUGCCUUUGAUACUGGGUAUCUCGAGUAUGGGAGAGGUGAGUGGAAUUCCGAGUGUAGAGGUGAAAUUCGUAGAUAUUCGGAGGAACACCAGUGGCGAAGGCGGCUCACUGGUCCAUUACUGACGCUGAGGUGCGAAAGCGUGGGGAGCAAACAGG